UACGUAGGUCCCGAGCGUUGUCCGGAUUUAUUGGGCGUAAAGCGAGCGCAGGUGGUUUAUUAAGUCUGGUGUAAAAGGCAGUGGCUCAACCAUUGUAUGCAUUGGAAACUGGUAGACUGGAGUGCCGGAGAGGUAGGCGGAAUUCCUGGUGUAGCGGUGAAAUGCGUAGAUAUCAGGAGGAACACCAGUGGCGAAGGCGGCCUACUGGACGGUGACUGACGCUGAGGCUCGAAAGCGUGGGGAGCAAACAGG
rnacentral:rRNA from 1 species